GAGUGUGUUUCUAGCUCUUAUCAGUUUAGUGUCCAUGUGGUGCCAAGUACUUGUCUCCCUUUUGUGGUUCUGGGUAGGUAUCCCUUCAGAGUUGGCUGCUUAUGAAGAAGAUGCCCAAAUAAGUCCAGAAGAGAUAACCAAACACAACAGAUCUGCAGGUCGCAACACAGAACCACACACACACAUGCCGCACCAUGAAAAAGACAAACAUGAUGCUUCUGAGAGAUCAUGACUUUUCCGUCAAUGAGUCCAGUGACACUGAGUUGGUUGAAGAGCUGGGAAAAGAAUUCAAAUGGCAGCUUCUAAAAUUAACUUCUUCAAAAGGGAAGGAGCAAGAGAUGAGCCGGGAAAGAAAAGGAGUCAAGACAGAGAUGAACCCAGCCACAUGGAAGAGAAAGUCAGCAUGGAAACAACUUGAAAGGCAGCAAACAGAAAAGAGGAAGCCUUAAAGAGCAGGGGGAAACGACCCCUGAUGGACGUGAUCAGGCAGAAGAAAUACCACGGGUGGAAGACAGGACUGAGUUAAUGCCACAUUCAGACAUCAAAUAGAACAUCCGAGAACCACGGUGCAUGGCAAGCGACUAAACGACAUUUUAAUUAUAUUUUUGGUCAUUGUAUUUUUUUUAAGAAUGGCAAAAUCAGUUUUCACAAUUGUCGAUUGGAUCUCUUUUUAUUAAUCUUUCCGCCAGAGUGGUAUCUGAGGUGUUCUGAGUGUGGCUGGGGAGAGUUGUCCUCACUUUGUUGCUGUGCGACUGCUUUACUUAAAUCCCAUUUGUCAAUUCUUGCCUAUGCCUGUAUCAUUAAUUCCUUGAACCCACA
rnacentral:lncRNA from 1 species